AGAGUUUGAUCCUGGCUCAGAACGAACGCUGGCGGCGUGGAUAAGACAUGCAAGUCGAACGGGAGAAUUGCUAGCUUGCUAAUAAUUCUCUAGUGGCGCACGGGUGAGUAACACGUGAGUAACCUGCCUCUUAGUGGGGGAUAGCCCUGGGAAACCGGGAUUAAUACCGCAUACGAUUGAAAGAUCAAAGCAGCAAUGCGCUAGGAGAUGGGCUCGCGGCCUAUUAGUUAGUUGGUGAGGUAACGGCUCACCAAGGCGAUGACGGGUAGCCGGUCUGAGAGGAUGUCCGGCCACACUGGAACUGAGACACGGUCCAGACACCUACGGGUGGCAGCAGUCGAGAAUCAUUCGCAAUGGGGGCAACCCUGAUGGUGCGACGCCGCGUGGGGGAAUGAAGGUCUUCGGAUUGUAAACCCCUGUCAUGUGGGAGCAAAUUAAAAAGAUAGUACCACAAGAGGAAGAGACGGCUAACUCUGUGCCAGCAGCCGCGGUAAUACAGAGGUCUCAAGCGUUGUUCGGAAUCACUGGGCGUAAAGCGUGCGUAGGCUGUUUCGUAAGUCGUGUGUGAAAGGCAGGGGCUCAACCCCUGGAUUGCACAUGAUACUGCGAGACUAGAGUAAUGGAGGGGGAACCGGAAUUCUCGGUGUAGCAGUGAAAUGCGUAGAUAUCGAGAGGAACACUCGUGGCGAAGGCGGGUUCCUGGACAUUAACUGACGCUGAGGCACGAAGGCCAGGGGAGCGAAAGGGAUUAGAUACCCCUGUAGUCCUGGCAGUAAACGGUGCACGCUUGGGGUGCGGGGGAAUCGACCCCCUG
rnacentral:rRNA from 1 species